rnacentral:snRNA from 1 species
UUGCUUCUGCAGCACAUAUAUUAAAAUUGGAAUGAUACAGAGAAGACUAGCAUGGCCCCUGUGCAAGGAUGACACACAAAUUCAUGAAGCAUUCCAUAUUUAA